UCCGAGUUGACCCCGGCAGUCUCCUAUGAGUCCCCGCCAUAACGCGCUGGCAACAUAGAACGAGGGUUGCGCUCGUUGCGGGACUUAACCCAACAUCUCACGACACGAGCUGACGACAACCAUGCACCACCUGUGAACCGGCCCCGAAGGGAAGGAAUCCAUCUCUGGAAGCCGUCCUGCCAUGUCAAAGGCUGGUAAGGUUCUGCGCGUUGCUUCGAAUUAAACCACAUGCUCCACCGCUUGUGCGGGCCCCCGUCAAUUCCUUUGAGUUUCAGCCUUGCGGCCGUACUCCCCAGGCGGGGCACUUGACGCGUAAGCUGCGACACGGAAGGGGCCGAUCCCCCCCGCAUCCAGUGCCCAUCGUUUACGGCGUGGACUAC
rnacentral:misc_RNA from 1 species